AUCAAAUGCCUUGAGGUAGAGGUCUUCAAAUUCCAGCUCAAAAUUCCACAAGAAAUCUAAUUUUCCUUUUCAUUUAGCUUCAAAUUAAUUCCUGCAUUCAAAUACCCGAAAAAACACAAAAAAGUGUAUAUACAAAAAUAGGAAAACCAUAGAAUUUCACUGUUUCAUUGAGCCUCAAUCCACUGUCAAGUGAUAGCUUCCAAAAUUUUGUCUCAUGGCUUGAUUUGGGUCUGUUUUUUGAGCCUUGGAAAUUAUUCCCCCAAAGACAGCAAUCUCCAGUAGUUUUAUAUCUGAAACAACUAUAGUUCAAUUCUCUAGCUUAUUUCGAAACCAAAAAAGACUUGAACUCUGGUAUUUCUGCUCAAUAUAUGCAAUCUGAAGAUGUUUGGAUUCACUGGUAUUGGUUCGAGUCAGAUGGUUUGUCAUUCACUGAGUGUGUUGGGUUGAUUUGUUGAUACUUCUUGGUUUUAUUGGGUUGCUGUUGAUAACUGUUAUUGCUGCUGAUCUUUUCCUCUUCUUAUUGCUCUCUAAUUUCCAGGUAUUAGCCUCUCCCCUGAUGUAUUGGUGCUGAUGUGAAGUGGAAAUACAAUAAAAUGUUUACUCUUCUGCUUCUCGAUCCUUGUCUGUUUGGGUUGAUGGGAUGAUGUUUAAUAGUUUAGAUACCAUAGAUUAAUGUAACUUAGUCUUAGUUUACAUAUGAGUGCAUAACUGAAUUGAGGAUGGACUGUAAAUGGACUAUUAAAUGCAUUGAUUUCAUCUAUAGAUACAUUACUCAUUUAAACUGAUUUGAUAUACACGUUAGCCUAUUUUACUGAUUCAUUUGCAAGUUCAGUCUGUAGGAAUUCAUCAUAAUACACAUUGAUUUCUUGGUUGUUAAAUUGGCAAAACAAGAUGUUAGAUUCUC
rnacentral:lncRNA from 1 species